AGCGAACGCUGGCGGCAGGCCUAACACAUGCAAGUCGAACGAACCUUUCGGGGUUAGUGGCGGACGGGUGAGUAACACGUGGGAACGUGCCUUUAGGUUCGGAAUAACUCAGGGAAACUUGUGCUAAUACCGAAUGUGCCCUUCGGGGGAAAGAUUAAUCGCCUUUAGAGCGGCCCGCGUCUGUUUAGCUAGUUGGUUGAGGUAAUGGCUCACCAAGGCGACGAUCAGUAGCUGGUCUGAGAGGAUGAUCAGCCACAUUGGGACUGAGACACGGCCCAAACUCCUACGGGAGGCAGCAGUGGGGAAUCUCGCGCAAUGGGCGAAAGCCUGACGCAGCCAUGCCGCGUGAAUGAUGAAGGUCUUAGGAUUGUAAAAUUCUUUCACCGGGGACGAUAAUGACGGUACCCGGAGAAGAAGCCCCGGCUAACUUCGUG
rnacentral:rRNA from 1 species